rnacentral:rRNA from 1 species
GACGAACGCUGGCGGCGUGCUUAACACAUGCAAGUCGAACGGAAAGGCCCUGCUUGCAGGGUGCUCGGGUGGCGAACGGGUGAGUAACACGUGGGUGAUCUGCCCCUUACUUUGGGAUAAGCCUGGGAAACUGGGUCUAAUACUGGAUAGGACCAUGCUGUAGGUGGUGUGGUGGAAAGAUUAGUUUCGGUAAGGGAUGAGCUCGCGGCCUAUCAGCUUGUUGGUGGGGUAAUGGCCUACCAAGGCGUCGACGGGUAGCCGGCCUGAGAGGGUGGACGGCCGCAUUGGGACUGAGAUACGGCCCAGACUCCUACGGGAGGCAGCAGUGGGGAAUAUUGCACAAUGGGCGCAAGCCUGAUGCAGCGACGCCGCGUGGGGGAUGACGGCCUUCGGGUUGUAAACUCCUUUCAGCCAUGACGAAGCCCUUGUGGUGACGGUAGUGGUAGAAGAAGCACCGGCUAACUACGUG